GGGUGUAUGAAUGAAUGAUGUAUGAGAAAGCAUGUUGUGUGAGGUAUUGAGCUCCAGAGUUUUCAUUAUUGUAUGUAUUGUUCACAGGAAAACAUGAAUGAUAUUUCCUUAAUCUUGAUGAUUGAUUGAAUUGUAUGUGAAUGUCAUAUGAUCAAGGCCAUUUUUGAAAACCCUUCUCUGGCCAAAUUUUCACCUAAAGUGCUUGAAAUAUUAUACCC
rnacentral:lncRNA from 1 species